rnacentral:rRNA from 1 species
GACGAACGCUGGCGGCGUGCUUAACACAUGCAAGUCGAACGAUGUGGCGAACGGGUGAGUAAUACGUGGGUAACCUGCCCUCCUUUUUGGGUUAAGCCUUGGAAACGGGGUCUAAUACAGAAUAAAGGGGGAUGGGCUCGCGGUCUAUCAGCUUGUUGGUGGGGUGAUGGCUUACGAAGGCGGUGACGGGUAGCCGGCCUGAGCGGGUGACCGGCCACAUUGGGACGGAGAUACGGCCCAGGCGCCUACGGGUGGCAGCAGUGGUGGAUAUGGCGCAAUGGGCGAAGGCCUGAUGCAGGGACGCCGAGAGGGGGAUGAAGGCUUUCGGGUUGUAAACCUCUUUCGCUAUAGAACGGGUAGGUGGCGAAGAAGCGCCGGCUAACUACGUGCCAGCAGCCGCGGUAAUAC